GUGUGUUUGGGCACUAGAACAGACACCUACAUUAUGUACUCAUCCUGUCUGGGGCAGGAAGUGAUAAAGUAGACAGUCUGUCUUUCCUCCUGGAUAAUUUCACUGACCACAAAAUUCAGGUACUAGUACCAUUGAGGUAUCCAGCCUCACCUGCAGCAAUUACUCCAGAAACUCCACAGGAAAAUGAAGUUUUUGGAACUGAUCAUCUUCAUCAAUGGAGUGAUGCAUUGGUUUAAAUCUGGAAACACAAUGAACCUUUGGUGUAACUGGUUGCUAAAUCUCAUCUAAGCCCAGGACACCUACCACACACCCUCAGAAAGUGCACUUCAGUUCUGGUAUGAAACAUAGGAAGUUAAGUUGCUCUCCUUCAAAAAGGUAGAGAAUAUAAAUAUG
rnacentral:lncRNA from 1 species